GAUCCGGCUCAGGAUGAACGCUAGCGGCAGGCUUAACACAUGUAAGUCGAGGGGCGGCGCGGAGUAGCAAUACUCUGGCGGCGACCGGCGGAAGGGUGCGUAACACGUGAGCGACUUGCCCGUCACAGGGAGAUAACCGCUGGAAACGGCGACUAAUAUCCCAUAUGAUGGCGAUCUGCAUGGAUUGUCAUUGAAAGAUUCAUCGGUGACGGAUAGGCUCGCGGGGCA
rnacentral:rRNA from 1 species